rnacentral:rRNA from 1 species
GACGAACGCUGGCGGCGUGCUUAACACAUGCAAGUCGAACGGAAAGGCCCUGCUUUUGUGGGUUUCUCGAGUGGCGCACGCGUGAGUAACACGUGAGUAUCCUGCCCUUGACUUUGGGAUAACUUCACGAAACUGGGGCUAAUACCGCAUAUGAUCUCCUGCUGCAUGUUGGUGGUUGGAAAGUUUCGGCGGUUCGGGCUGGACUCGCGGCUUAUGAGCUUGUUUGUGGGGUAGUGGCUUACCAAGGCUGUGAAGGCUAGCCGGCCUGAGAGGUGGAACGGGGACAUGGGGACUGAGGGAGGGACCAGAAGGCUACGGGAGGCAGCAGUGGGGAGUAUUGCAGAGUGGGCGGAAGUGUGAUGCAGAAGCGUUGCGUGCGGGAUGACGGGUUUCGGGGGGAAAACAGAUUUGGAAGGUGACGAAGCGGGAGUGACGGUAAUGGGUAAAGAAGCACCGGCUAACUACGUG